rnacentral:misc_RNA from 1 species
GCCGCCGGCGAACUCGCUGAGUGCCUUGCAGUAUGCCGCCGAAGGCGGACAUCCCAUUGCGCAGUGGCGGCUUGGCCGCAUGUACGCUGCAGGCGACGGCGUCGAUCGCGACGACCUGCGCGCGUUCGAAUACUUCAGCCGGAUCGC